GAUUACAAUCAGCAGUACGUCAACACUCCGGGACGUCACUGGACCGGGACGUCACUGGGCCGGGACGUCACUGGGCCGGGACGUCACUGGACCGGGACGUCACUGGACCGGGACGUCACUGGACCGGGACGUCACGCCUCAGAGACCGGGACGUCACUGGAUCGGGACGUCACUGGGCCGGGACGUCACUGGGCCAGGACGUCACUGGGCCGGGACGUCACUGGGCCGGGACGUCACUGGGCCGGGACGUCACUGAGCCGAGACGUCACUGGGCCGGGACGCCUCGGACACCGGGACGCCGCAGAGACCGGGACGCCUCGGACACCAGGACGCCGCAGAGACCGGGACGCCUCGGACACCGGGACGCCGCAGAGACCGGGACGCCUCGGACACCGGGACGCCUCGGACACCGGGACGCUACGGACACCGGGACGCCUCGGACACCGGGACGCUACGGACACCGGGACGCCUCGGACACCGGGACGCCUUGGAGACCAGGACGCCUCGGUGACCGGGACGUCACUGGACCCGGACGUCACACCUCAGAGACCGGGACGUCACUGGACCGGGACGUCACUGGGCCGGGACGUCACUGGACCGGGACGUCACUGGACCGGGACGUCACUGGGCCGGGACGUCACUGGACCGGGACGUCACUGGACCGGGACGUCACUGGACCGGGACGUCACGCCUCAGAGACCGGGACGUCACUGGAUCGGGACGUCACUGGGCCGGGCCGUCACUGGGCCGGGACGUCACUGGGCCGGGACGUCACUGGGCCGGGACGUCACUGAGCCGGGACGUCACUGGGCCGGGACGCCUCGGACACCGGGACGCCGCAGAGACCGGGACGCCUCGGACACCGGGACGCCUCGGACACCGGGACGCUACGAACACCGGGACGCCUCGGACACCGGGACGCUACGGACACCGGGACGCCUCGGACACCGGGACGCCUCGGACACCGGGACGCCUUGGAGACCAGGACGCCUCGGUGACCGGGACGCCUCAGACACCGGGACGCCUCGGAGACUGGGACGCCUUGGAGACCAGGACGCCUCGGUGACCGGGACGCCUCAGACACCGGGACGCCUCGGAGACUGGGAGGCCUCUGAGACCACGCCCGCCGCCCCCCGGGGUCUGGUCAGUUAG
rnacentral:lncRNA from 1 species